ACCCAAAGAUACUGAACAAACAUAGGAACAAUGAUUAUGACGGUAACAGGAAUAAAACUUCCCCAUACCCCACACACUCUGCUAUUCCUGUUGCUACCCCACACCCUCACCAACACGCAGAAAAGACUUGUAACCCAUCUCCUCACAGCAGCCAACAUCCUCAUUCCAGUAAAAUGGAAAAAUCUCAAUACCCCGACGAUCAGAGAAUGGAUUCACAGAGUAGACGCGCUUAAAAUAAUGGAAAACAUACAAGCCUCUGUUACCCACAAAUUGUCCCUCUUCCAAGAGGUGUGGGAGCCGUGGACAAGAUUCUUGUCAAAAUCUAACAUUGCCCCAUGACACCUCAACCUAGAACCCCUCCACUCCCCACCAGUUCACAAGACAGUUAGAAUGCCAACUGCCUGAAUACUCCCUUUGAUCUCCUCUUGAUCUCCUCUCAGACUUCCCCUCCCCAUCCCUUCCGUCCCCCCCCUUUCACCCUCUCCUCUCCCCCCUGCUCCUCCCUUUCUCUCUUUUUGCGAUAAAACUCACAGACUCUUAACUCACAGACAGACACAGGUAACUACUAGCUGCUUAACACAAAGAGCCGAUACCACCCGCCCACUACUAAUCGACUCCUGACU